rnacentral:rRNA from 1 species
GACGAACGCUGGCGGCGUGCUUAACACAUGCAAGUGGAGCGACGAACCAGGGCUUGCCCUGGGGCAGAGCCGCGAACGGGUGAGUAACACGUGGGUAACGUGCCCCGAUGAUCGGGACAACCCGGGGAAACCCGGGCUAAUACCGAAUGUGCUCCCCUCACACCAGUGAGGGAUGGAAAGGAAGCUUCGGCCUCCGCAUCGGGAUCGGCCCGCGGCCCAUUAGCUUGUUGGUGAGGUAACGGCUCACCAAGGCUGCGAUGGGUAGCUGGUCUGAGAGGACGAUCAGCCACACUGGGACUGAGACACGGCCCAGACUCCUACGGGAGGCAGCAGUGGGGAAUCUUGCGCAAUG